rnacentral:ncRNA from 12 species
GGGUUCAGGAACUUAAAGGUUUCUGGAGGAUUUUGAUGGUCGGGCCGCCAUCU